rnacentral:misc_RNA from 1 species
UGAGAAAGCCCAGGAGAG